UAUCUCACUGUGGUUUUGAUUUGCAUUUUCCUAAUGAAUAAUCAAGCUCAGCAUCUUUUCAUGUGAUAUUAUGUAUUUUGACAAGGUAACCAAAGCUACUUAUGAAUAAUGAUGCCAGGUCAUCUGAAAGACAUUAUCAGCUUGUCCCUGGAAGGGAGUGGGACCUGAGAUCACAGAACAAAGGACUAGUCAAUUUUGAGAGGAGGAGAAAGAAAAGAAAGAUAAGGGCAGGCUUGGGCGCAGUUUGAGUUUGGGGAAGGGGAGCAGUUGUGUAAGAGAAUUUGGGAGAGGAGACACCUAGGCAAUCAUGGGAUGGACUGAGGGCCUUGUGUAUUGGUGAGGUUGGAAAGAUGGCAAAAUGAGCUUGCAUGAUCCCAGAGAGAUAAGUGUGGUGGUAGGACCAGCCUCCCUAUUUCACAAUUUCUCUAGGAGUGACUACUCUGCUGAUGAAUAAAUGACCUGCACCGCUCAGGGAGAGGUAGCAGAACUAUGGACUGGUCAUCAGAAAACCUCUAUGCCUGGGAGCAUGUGCGAAAGCAGCCUUUAUCUGAGAUAAGAAAGAUGAGAGAGCUUUGAGAAAAUCAAGACUGUGGGGUGGUGCAAGCCUCGUCUUUAAAACCACAAUUGUGGGGCUCAUGUCUUUUUGUACCAUGCAAGAUUGAAUAUUGGACCAUCUUCUGUAUUCUUGCUCUGCGGUGACAAGGAGAGUAUCAAUACGAAAGAUGUGUCUUUCUUUAACUGGCCUCCAAGUGGGUAUUUACUGAGAUCUAUGGACUUGGGACUCAGCAGUGAACAAAAUAGAGAAAUCCUUGGGGAGAUUACAUUCUAUUUCAAGAAGGAACAUCUGACUCCAAGAAGGAAAAUAAUGGAAAGGAGGAAAUGUUGAAGAAUGUUGGGAAUUGGGAAGUGGAAGGAAAAUCAAGGAGACACUGUGGCUUCUGGACUGGAGCCAUAUGGUAGCUGGGAAGCCUUUAAUGUACACCUCAAACCUGUGGAAACAUGUACAUAAUUACUUACGAGAUUUCGUUAAAUAAAUCAAGCAACAAUCAUAAAAGAGAAUACCAAGAGACUUAAGAAGAGUGAGGCAUUUCUGUAGUUACUGAUCCAGAGAGAUGUCAAAGCUAUAUUAUUACAUGAACAGGCAAGUGCAAUCUGAUACAAUUCUCUAGAUGGCUGUACAUUCUCAGAAAAGGUCUGCAAGGACACAUACCAAAUUGUUAAGUGUUAGUCAUCUGAAGGGGACGAGGAACUUCAACUUUCUCUUUUCAUUAUUUCUGUGUCGUUUGAGUUUUCAACAACAUCUAUUACUUUUGCAAUAAUUUUUUUUUAUAGAAACUAUAUCCUGCCAAGGUGUGGCCUCAGUUUUGUUCACAAGCCCUCCUCACCAGGGGGAUGCUCUUUCUUCUCAUGCCUGCAGUGCUAGGUGUGUGUACUGCUUCUAUUUCUACAUCCUCUUUCUGAUCUCCUGCCCUCUGCUGUGUGCUGUGGGUACAAGGUCUCCUCCUUACCAAGUCACUGUCAGUGCCUCCAUCCUUUGAGAUUUGAUGUUUUACUUCAAAUUCUUUUAAACUUGCUUUCCUUUCCUCACAUGCCCUUUCCCUGUUCUUGUUUUCAUUGCGUUCCUUCUCCCUCCUGCAGUUUUCUCUACCCUCUGCUAUCCAUUGUCUUUUUCAUGUGGACUUUUCUUUCUCUCUGAAGAAUUCCAUUUUCUAAAAGCUAUCUUUCCCUCACUGCUGUUGUUUACUGCCACCCACUCCAAACAGGGUGGAAAGCUCUCCUUCACCUACUGUAACUGAAAGUCUGAACUCAUCUGCUUUCAGCUGCUGGCAUUCAUACCACCAGCUAAAGGGUUCAGUAGUUUUGCAGUGAUUCCCUGACUUUCUAACUCUGCACUGCCAGAGAGGAAACUGAAACACUGUCACAGGCAGCAUGUAACCUGCUAACUGUCAGAGGAAUAGCAAGUGGGCGGGGUUGACCAGCCUUCAAGAUGGCCCCUGGGAUCCUUACCUCCUGGCGUUCCCACCCUCUGCAGUUCCCCUUGGACCUGUGUGACCAAUAGAGCACUGUGGAAGUCACUGUGUAUGAUUUCUGAGGCCAGAUCAUGAAAGACAUUGCAGCUUCUUCCCUGGGUUCAUGGAUUGAUAGAUGUCCAGUUGUAGAUAUCCCAAAAUUUUUUGAACUAAUCCUCUAUUAUUGGAUAUUUAAAUUACUUCAUAUGAUUUGCUAUUAGGUUUGCUGUGGUGUGAUUUGCUGUGGUAAAUUUCCUUUUACAUUGAGUUUUACCCACUUACACAAAUAUAUUUUCAGAAAGAAUUCUUAGGUGUGAAAGUGGGGGUUAAAGAAAAUACACAUUUUAACGCUUUUGCUCUGUAUUGCCGCAGUACCAUUUACUGAGCUCUUAACUACUUUUCCUGAUCUUAGAUUUAUCAGGCGCAUCUGUGGGCUUUAUCCUAGUUUCUCUGCCAAUGGUAUAAUUCACCUAAAAACAACAGAUACGGAUGCAUAUCUGGUUCUGGGGAAAACCAGUUAUCAUGCUGUGGGGACACUCAAACAGCCCCAAGGAGAGGCUCACAUGUAGAGGAACUGAGGCUUCCUGUCAAACACUGGCACCCACUUGGCUGCCAUCUUGAGACACCUUGGAAGUGGAUCCUCCAACUCCAGUUAAUGAUUCAGGUGGCUGACGUUCCAGCGGACAUCUAGCUUCAUGAGAGACCUGAGUCAGAAUCAUCUGAACAACCAAAGUCUUGACUGACUUACAUGAAGUGAUGAGAUAAUAAAUGAUUCUUAUUGCUGUAAACCG